rnacentral:rRNA from 1 species
UACGAAGGGGGCUAGCGUUGUUCGGAAUUACUGGGCGUAAAGCGCGUGUAGGCGGGUCUUUAAGUCAGGGGUGAAAUGCCAAGGCUCAACCUUGGAACUGCCUUUGAUACUGGAGACCUUGAGUCCGGGAGAGGUGAGUGGAAUUGCGAGUGUAGAGGUGAAAUUCGUAGAUAUUCGCAAGAACACCAGUGGCGAAGGCGGCUCACUGGCUCGGAACUGACGCUGAGAUGCGAAAGCGUGGGGAGCAAACAGG